AGCAGCCGCGGUAAUUCCAGCUCCAAUAGCGUAUAUUAAAGUUGUUGCAGUUAAAAAGCUCGUAGUUGGAUCUCAGGUCCAGGCUCGCGGUUCGUUUCGCGACGAUACUGCCCGUCCUGACCUACCUCCUGGUUCUCCCUCGGUGCUCUUCGCUGAGUGCCCCGGGUAGCCAGAACGUUUACUUUGAAAAAAU
rnacentral:rRNA from 1 species